CUAACACAUGCAAGUCGAGGGGUAGAGGGUGCUUGCACCCUUGAAGACCGGCGCACGGGUGCGUAACGCGUAUGCAACCUACCUAUUGCAGGGGAAUAGCCCAGGGAAACUUGGAUUAAUGCCCCAUAGUCCAUAUUGAUAGCAUUUGAUAUAUGGUAAAGAUUCAUCGGCAAUAGAUGGGCAUGCGUCCUAUUAGCUAGUUGGUGUGGUAACGGCACACCAAGGCUACGAUAGGUAGGGGCCCUGAGAGGGGGAUCCCCCACACUGGUACUGAGACACGGACCAGACUCCUACGGGAGGCAGCAGUGAGGAAUAUUGGACAAUGGGCGGGAGCCUGAUCCAGCCAUGCCGCGUGCAGGAAGACUGCCCUAUGGGUUGUAAACUGCUUUUUUACGGGAAGAAACACCCCCACGUGUGGGGGCUUGACGGUACCGUACGAAUAA
rnacentral:rRNA from 1 species